rnacentral:rRNA from 1 species
AGAGUUUGAUCCUGGCUCAGGAUGAACGCUGGCGGCGUGGAUAAGGCAUGCAAGUCGAAUGGGUUUAGACCCAUGGCAAACGGGUUCGGAUAACAUAGGAAUCUACCUCAGAGUCGUGGAUAAUCCGGAGAAAUCCGGGAUAAGACGCGAUGUACUCUACGGAGUAAAGAUUUAUCGCUUUGAGAGGAGCCUGUGUCCUAUCAGCUUGUUGGUGAGGUAACGGCUCACCAAGGCUAUGACGGGUAGGGGGUGUGAGAGCAUGGCCCCCAACAUUGGAACUGAGACACUGUCCAAACACCUACGGGUGGCUGCAGUCGAGAAUAUUCCACAAUGGGCGAAAGCCUGAUGGAGCGACGCCGCGUGCAGGAUGAAGGUCUUCGGAUUGUAAACUGCUUUUCUACGGGAAGAAUUACGAUGACGGUACCGUAGGAAUAAGAGGUUACUAACUCUGUGCCAGCAGUAGCGGUAAUACAGAGACCUCAAGCGUUAUCCGGAUUUAUUGGGCGUAAAGCGCAGGUAGGCGGUCGUGUUAGUCGGAUGUCAAAGGCCCGGGCUCAACCCGGGAAAGGCAUUCGAAACGGCACGACUCGAGAGUGUGAGAGAUCGGUGGAAUUCAUGGUGUAGUAGUGAAAUGCGUUGAUAUCAUGAGGAACACCCAAGGCGAAGGCAACCGAUUGGCACAUUUCUGACGCUCAGCUGCGAAAGCGUGGGUAGCGAAUGAGAUUAGAUACCCCAGUAGUCCACGCCCUAAACGAUGUCUACUAGGUGUGGGGAGAAUCGACCCUCUCUGUGCCGAAGCUAACGCGUUAAGUAGACCGCCUGGGAAGUACGAGCGCAAGCUUAAAACUCAAAGGAAUAGACGGGGAUCCGCACAAGUGGUGGAGCAUGUGGUUUAAUUCGACGGUAAGCGAGGAACCUCACCAGGGUUUGAAAUCUAGCUGGAGAGCCCAGAAAUGGGAAGUCCUUCGAGGCUGCUAGACCAGGUGCUGCAUGGUUGUCGUCAGCUCGUGUCGUAAGAUGUUCCGUUCAGUCGGGAAACGAGCGCAACCCUCACGAAAUGUUACAUGUGUCAUUUCGGACUGCCCAGCCCUUUUGUCAUUAAUUCAAGAUUAGUGCCAAGAGGGCUGGGAGGAAGGCGGGGAUGACGUCAAAUCAGCAUGGCCCUCUGACACCCUGGGCGACACACGUGCUACAAUGGCCGACAUAAUGGGCAGCCAACCCGCGAGGGGGAGCCAAUCCCAAAAAUUCGGUCUCAGUUCGGAUUGCAGUCUGCAACUCGACUGCAUGAAGCUGGAAUCACUAGUAAUCGGGAAUCAGCCAUGUCCCGGUGAAUACGUUCUCGGAUCUUGUACUCACCGCCCGUCACACCAAGAGAGCUGGCAAUACCAGAAGGCCCCGGGUCAUAUCGGGGACUACGGUAGGGUCAGUAAUAAGGGUGAAGUCGUAACAAGGUAACC